ACAACACGAUUCACGGCGUUCUGAAAUCCUUCUACCGUUGUUUUUAUCUGUCAGUUUCUAGUCUUGACCAAUUCAUUAAUUUGUCAAUUUAGCGUUUUAUUAUAAGUUGAAUGUAUGUGUUUGACUGUAUUUGGCAAAAUGAUGAAUGUGAUACUUAUUUAGGAAUCAAUUCAUAAUGAUGACGUGAAUGUUUUGAAUCUGAAGCACGGAAAGUGUACUCUUUAGUAUGCAGUUCACGCGCGCGCAUGCUGAGAGCGCGUGGAUGUGGAGGAAUCUCUGGAAAAAACAUGCUAGUAAUUUCAAUAGGGGAAACGGAUGAAAAAUAUUCAGUAAAAACGAGUUUACUGGAAGUCACCUUACAGUAUAAGUUUCAUACCGACUUUGAGUGAUGUGGUCUUCCAUUAUACCACCAGCUUUAUCAUCAGUACAUUUUACAGCAACAAACAGUUCAAAUUGAUGGAGUGAUUUGUGUUCCAUUCAUCAAUCAGCACGUCACAGCAGGAGGAUGAUGGGUGUCGGACUAUACCACUCCUUUUCUUCCUCCUUGACCUUACACACUAAACACAUCUAUUACUUAAAAUCAGUGCGCUUGUGUGCUUCUAUCAGAGAGGAGGACAGAGCAACAUUAUUCUGCGAACGAUGUCUGGAAUAAGAUGGGCCUUGGCUUGUUUGAUUUUGUGCUGCGACUAUCAAACUCUUUAAAAGAUUUAAACCUCACUCAUCCCUCCCAAAUCCCACCUCACACUACUCAGUGUGGAAUAACGGUGUUGUUCAAAUAUGAUGUGAGAACAAUGAGAUUGAAGUCAAAGUUUACUGACACUAAGCCGGACCAAUUCUCUGUUAAAUGGGCUAUUACACACACAACAGCCAGCGAGUGUUUGACCGGGUAAGACUUCAUUACAGAUUUCAUUCUCGCCCAAGGUGUAGGAUCUGUAUAGCUGUCAUUGAUUGCAUGAAUGUGCGGGUUAAUUGGCUUUUGGAGUGGGUUCUCUGUGAUUUCGCUCGGCAUAAGUGAGAUGUUGAUGAAUAGCGAAUCCUCUUUUGGACGCAUGCUGGCGUAGGCAUGAGUGUUAAGGUGAGAGUGUGGGUGAUCUUCAUGCUCAAUAUGACUGUUGCACCAUUGUGAUUCUUACAGAGAGACCCUGAACACUCAACAAUUAGCUGAAUUAGUUUGAAUCAAUAAUGAAUGUAACCAAUGAUUAACAUUUAGCUCAAGGUCAUCUGCCAUCUCACAAACAUGCCGUGUUACUUUUAAAAAAAGAUGGUAAGUUUUUAUACAAGAUAAUUUGACACUUUCCCUUUCAAGUGGUCUUCAUUAUUUGAAAGGCUUGAGUUUCUGGCUGUAAAUUUAAGAAUGUAACUGGGUUAUUCCUACACUUUGGUGGAUUUGGGAGUGAGCAGGUUUGUUGAAAAAAGUUACAAUUACUAUCAUGUUUUAGUCUUAUCAUCAGUGUCUGUCUUUUAGAAAAACUGGUCAAGCUCAGGCUAUAUAACCUAAGAAUCCUUAUAUUCCACGUGUUCUUGGAAAUUUGUCCACCCUGUUACAUUACAUUUUUUACAAUGUAAAAGGUUGUAAGCUAAUGAAGCCCAUUACUAGCUAGGAAAGAACAACAUAAUUAAAAAGUUAGUUAACCCAAAAAUGAAAUUUCAGUCAUUAAUUACUCACCCUCAUGUUGUUCCAAACCCGUAAGACCUUCGUUCAUCUUCAGAACACAAAUUAAGAUAUUUUUGAUGAAAUCCGAGAGGUUUUUUAUCUCCCAUAAAAAGCAACGAAAUU